CCUACGGGUGGCUGCAGUGGGGAAUAUUGCACAAUGGGCGCAAGCCUGAUGCAGCCAUGCCGCGUGUGUGAAGAAGGCCUUCGGGUUGUAAAGCACUUUCAGCGGGGAGGAAGGCGGUGAGGUUAAUAACCUCAUCGAUUGACGUUACCCGCAGAAGAAGCACCGGCUAACUCCGUGCCAGCAGCCGCGGUAAUACGGAGGGUGCAAGCGUUAAUCGGAAUUACUGGGCGUAAAGCGCACGCAGGCGGUCUGUCAAGUCGGAUGUGAAAUCCCCGGGCUCAACCUGGGAACUGCAUUCGAAACUGGCAGGCUAGAGUCUGGUAGAGGGGGGUAGAAUUCCAGGUGUAGCGGUGAAACGCGUAGAGAUCUGGAGGAAUACCGGUGGCGAAGGCGGCCCCCUGGACAAAGACUGACGCUCAGGUGCGAAAGCGUGGGGAGCAAACAGGAUUAGAUACCCGGGUAGUC
rnacentral:rRNA from 1 species